rnacentral:misc_RNA from 1 species
UUAAUUUAAUUAAAAUUUUAUACUCAGACGACUGGUUAAAAACAAGAGUUUGGUUAGACUCUGGCGGGCGCUCGCCUGUCCGAAGACUGGCGCGCUCGGAGAACCAAACGGUCCCGCCAAAGCAACGGAUAGUUAUAACAACAGAGGGUUGGAGGUCGGGCCACUAGGACCCUUACUCUUUAAUGAUCCUUCCGCAGGUUCACCUACGGAAA